GACGAACGCUGGCGGCGUGCCUAAUACAUGCAAGUUGAGCGCUGAAGGUUGGUACUUGUACCGACUGGAUGAGCAGCGAACGGGUGAGUAACGCGUGGGGAAUCUGCCUUUGAGCGGGGGACAACAUUUGGAAACGAAUGCUAAUACCGCAUAAAAACUUUAAACACAAGUUUUAAGUUUGAAAGAUGCAAUUGCAUCACUCAAAGAUGAUCCCGCGUUGUAUUAGCUAGUUGGUGAGGUAAAGGCUCACCAAGGCGAUGAUACAUAGCCGACCUGAGAGGGUGAUCGGCCACAUUGGGACUGAGACACGGCCCAAACUCCUACGGGAGGCAGCAGUAGGGAAUCUUCGGCAAUGGACGAAAGUCUGACCGAGCAACGCCGCGUGAGUGAAGAAGGUUUUCGGAUCGUAAAACUCGGUUGGCAGAGAAGAACGUUGGUGAGAGUGGAAAGCUCAUCAAGUGACGGUAACUACCCAGAAAGGGACGGCUAACUACGUG
rnacentral:rRNA from 1 species